rnacentral:misc_RNA from 1 species
AAGUCGUAACAAGGUUUCCGUAGGUGAACCUGCGGAAGGAUCAUUAACACUUUAAUCCUUUAUAAACAACUGAGAACAUGUACCUCUACCUGAGAAUAAUUAAAUCGUCAACGUAUAGUGUAUGGUGAAAGUCGAGUCGAGUCGAGUCUAGGCUCUACUAGCUAUUCAUUGACUGGAAGUCUUGGAGCUUCAGAUUUUUAUUUUUAGGCUAUUUUACGCCAUCACCAUGGUAUAUAACUAUAUUAACAACUAUAAUUAAAAUUGAACUAAUCUAUGCUUCACUAGUAGAAAUACUAGUAGAAUCAAGUUUAUACGAAACUAAGAACAACUCUUAGCAAUGGAUAUCUUGGUUCCC